GGAAUCCCAUGGACGGAGGAGUCUGGGGUCACAGAGAGUCAGACACGACUGAACAGCAACCACCCAUCUCUGUAUCCACCACGCGGAGAACCAGAGUUAGCUGCACACUGCAGGCGCACAGUCAGGGUCUUUGGGAUGGAAUUGCAACCAUGUCACUUGAAUAGUCUUUGAAAAAAAAAGCCCAGAGGAGAGUGGAAGUGGAUCUGCCCGCACCACAGAAGCUGCUGCCCCGACUCCUGGUACUGAUAUCAUCCCCCUACAAGGGGGAGGGCUGCGGAAUCACCGUGCUCAACCUUCUGAAGACCCUGAGCCAGAGCAUCGCCCCCUCCAUGGCCAACAUGUGGGAGCCUGGAGGCCGACAAGGUGGAGGUGCUGCUGGUGGAGCUGCUCUACAAGACGGACUACAGAGACGACUUCGAUUGGGAGGGUGUGAUCCUGUGCUUUGGCCUGUGUGCCCGGGGCCAGGUGAAGACGGUGCUGGGCAUGCUCCAUGACUUUGAAGAGAGGAUCCAGGAGUCGGAGCAGUCCUGGCAGAUCGGUGCCUGGCGGAAGGACCAUCCCUGGAGGCGGGAGACAGUGAAGGGCGCGCUCAUGGUGAUGUACAGCCGCGUGGCCUCGUGCUGCCACCCGCAGAUGCUUCUCACCCACGUGGACAACCCCAUCACUGCAAGAUCAUCCACCACUAUUCGAGCAGCUGCCAGGCAACCCCGGGAGCCCACAGACACGCCGUGCCCUGAUGAUGCCCUCCUUGAGCCCCGGGCUGGGGGGGGGAGUCACCCUGCAUGGUUAUCUGGGCACUGCCAGUCCCACCCUGUGCCCUGAUGAUGCCCUCCUGGAGCCUUGGGCUGGGGCGGGGAGAGUCACCCUGCAUGGUUAUUUGGGCACUGCCAGCCCCACCCAGGAGAUUCGAGUCCUGGAGUCCCGUCUGCCACUCAGCAUUUGGGAAUCCCAUUGCCCCAGGCUCUGCUGCUCUCUGCUGCACGGGCUGGGGGUGGGGGGUCGGCAGUGGGGAGCAGCCCUUCCCUGAUACACCAAGUAGGGGUCUUUGUGGUUGAAGUCACAGGACAAGCCCUUGCCCAGCCCUUCACACAUACCUUCUCUCACCUCUGCCCCGAUCCUGACACCUGACCCCAAGCCCUUUCUGAGGGUCAAGAAAGGGGCUGUCUUCAGAAAGGCAAAGGACUGGCUGCUUUCUUGGAAAGGCCAGGAGGAGAAAACUCAGGGAAUAAAGGAGAAAUGACUUUAUCAUUACUGUUUUGAAAACUGGUGAAGUACACAUGACAUGAAAUUUGUCAUCACAACCACUUUUAAGCACGCAGUUGGCAUUCAGUUCAGUUCAGUCGCUCAGUCAUGUCCAACUCUUUGUG